rnacentral:lncRNA from 1 species
GGGAAAAGAAAGAGAAAGAAGAGGGGAAUCCAAAUGAAUGUCUCCUAGACGUCUCACUGCGCACGGGCUUUUCCGGAUAUCUUCCACUCCUUGUCUCGAAGUUUGGUUCGUUGAAUUUUCCCUGUGACAGUCUUGGGUAGGUUCAAGACAAACUCUAUCUGUUGAAAAACAAAUCAGUCCAGGGUGGGUGAUCUGUGACGACAGUGGGUGAUUACAUGGACGAAAGGAGAUUAUGCAGGCUAAGUUAUUGGCAUGGAGUAACCACUGAAAAAUAAUAGCUGUGGUUAUUAAUCUGGGUUAAUCUGAGGUCUUUAGACAUCUAAAACAUUUAAGAAUUAGGAUACCUCAUUUUGAAUUCCACAUCAAUCAUUUCCUAUCAAUGUACCCUAAGCAAAAUUAUAAAAUCUCUCCAAUUUCACUAUUUGCUCUUGUUAAAAGGAGUGUUUGAAGCUGAGGAUCCUCUAUCUC